AUUGAACGCUGGCGGCAGGCCUAACACAUGCAAGUCGAACGGUAACAGGAAGAUUCUUGCUUCUUUGCUGACGAGUGGCGGACGGGUUAGUUAUGUCUCUGAAACUUCCUGAUGGAUGGGGAUAACUACUGGAAACGGUAGCUACUACCGCAUAACGUCGCAAGACCAAAGAGGGUGACCUUCGGGCCUCUUGCCAUCGCCUGUGCCCAGUUGGGAUUAGCUAGUAGGUGGGGUAACGGCUCACCUAGGCGACGAUCCGUAGCUGGUCUGAGAGGAUGACCAGCCACACUGGAACUGAGACACGGUCCAGACUCCUACGGGAGGCAGCAGUGGGGAAUAUUGCACAAUGGGCGAAAGCCUGAUGCAGCCAUGCCGCGUGUAUGAAGAAGGCCUUCGGGUUGUAAAGUACUUUAAGCGGGGAGGAAGGGAGUAAAGUUAAUACCUUUGCUCAUUGACGUUACCAGCAGAAGAAGCACCGGCUAACUCCGUG
rnacentral:rRNA from 1 species